rnacentral:tRNA from 1 species
CAGAAAGUAGUUUAUGUAAAAUUUUAAUUUUGGAGAUUAAAGAAAAAUAAGUUUAUUUUAAUAGA